AUUGAACGCUGGCGGCAGGCCUAACACAUGCAAGUCGAGCGGAUGAAGAGAGCUUGCUCUCCGAUUCAGCGGCGGACGGGUGAGUAAUGCCUAGGAAUCUGCCUGGUAGUGGGGGACAACGUUUCGAAAGGAACGCUAAUACCGCAUACGUCCUACGGGAGAAAGCAGGGGACCUUCGGGCCUUGCGCUAUCAGAUGAGCCUAGGUCGGAUUAGCUAGUAGGUGAGGUAAAGGCUCACCUAGGCGACGAUCCGUAACUGGUCUGAGAGGAUGAUCAGUCACACUGGAACUGGGACACGGUCCAGACUCCUACGGGAGGCAGCAGUGGGGAAUAUUGGACAAUGGGCGAAAGCCUGAUCCAGCCAUGCCGCGUGUGUGAAGAAGGUCUUCGGAUUGUAAAGCACUUUAAGUUGGGAGGAAGGGCAGUAAGUUAAUACCUUGCUGUUUUGACGUUACCAACAGAAUAAGCACCGGCUAACUUCGUGCCAGCCGCCGCAGUAAAAC
rnacentral:rRNA from 1 species